GACGGAGGAUGCAAGCGUUAUCCGGAAUGAUUGGGCGUAAAGCGUCCGCAGGUGGCAGUUCAAGUCUGCUGUCAAAGACCGGGGCUUAACUUCGGAAAGGCAGUGGAAACUGAACAGCUAGAGUAUGGUAGGGGCAGAGGGAAUUCCUGGUGUAGCGGUGAAAUGCGUAGAGAUCAGGAGGAACACCGGUGGCGAAGGCGGUUCUCUGGGCCUUACCUGACGCUGAGGAGCGAAAGCGUGGGGAGCGAACAGG
rnacentral:rRNA from 1 species